CCUACGGGAGGCUGCAGUGAGGAAUAUUGGUCAAUGGACGAGAGUCUGAACCAGCCAAGUAGCGUGAAGGAUGACUGCCCUAUGGGUUGUAAACUUCUUUUAUAUGGGAAUAAUAUGCUCUACGUGUGGGAUGUUGUAUGUACCAUACGAAUAAGCAUCGGCUAACUCCGUGCCAGCAGCCGCGGUAAUACGGAGGAUGCGAGCGUUAUCCGGGUUUAUUGGGUUUAAAGGGAGCGUAGGUGGAUUUUUAAGUCAGUUGUGAAAAUUUGGGGCUCAACCGUAAAAAUGCAUUUAAUACUGGAAGUCUAGAGUACAGUUGAGGUAGGCGGAAUAAGUGGAGUAGCGGUGAAAUGCAUAGAUAUCACGAAGAACUCCGAUUGCGAAGGCAGCUUACUAGACUGCCACUGACAUUGAUGCACGAGAGUAUGGGUAGCGAACAGGAUUAGAUACCCGGGUAGUC
rnacentral:rRNA from 1 species